CUCGAGACAUUAAAGAGGACUUUCACUGUCUUUGAUGAUGUCAUCUUUUACGUAUUAAGUUCUUCUAGCAUGGUAACUAGAACUAAAUUUUUAACUUAACUUCCUUUUAAACCACACACUGUGAAUGCAUCUGUGAAAAAGACUUCUCGUUGCCAGGGAAACCACUGCUUUGUCUGUACGUGUUUGGAAUGGCUGCCUCAUUAGAACUCAGGCUCCUAGACAGUCACUUGUAAUACUGAUAAAAUGAAAGGAAUGAACCUAUUUUAGCUGAUUAACUUAAAAUUAAUAAAAAAUAGCAUAUUUAAAAGAUAGAUGUUUAAAAGCUA
rnacentral:lncRNA from 1 species